GGUUGUAGUGCAUGUAUAUGUACAGGUGUGAUUGCCAAUAAGACAACUUCUAUAAGUAUCGACAAAAAAAGCAAAACAACAAUGUUAAUUAUAUAACCAGUUUAUAUGUACAUGCACAAAAUGUACAAAUGUAUGUCACCAGUCCUCAACAAUGAGCCCCCCCCCCCUUAUUUACUGGUGUGGUGUUAUUGUCAAUAAGACUAUAAUUAUAUGUAUCAACAAAAAAAGCAAAACAACAAUGUAA
rnacentral:lncRNA from 1 species